GACAGAGGGUGCUAGCGUUGUUCGGAAUGACUGGGCGUAAAGCGCGCGCAGGCGGUCCUUUAAGUCUGAUGUGAAAAGCCCCACGGCUCAACCGUGGAGGGUCAUUGGAAACUGGGGGGACUUGAGUACAGAAGAGGAAGAGUGGAAUUCCACGUGUAGCGGUGAAAUGCGUAGAGAUGUGGAGGAACACCAGUGGCGAAGGCGACUCUUGUCGUGUAACUGACGCUGAGGCGCGAAAGCGUGGGGAGCAAACAGG
rnacentral:rRNA from 1 species